rnacentral:rRNA from 1 species
GACGAACGCUGGCGGCGUGCUUAACACAUGCAAGUCGAACGGAAAGGCCCAGCUUGCUGGGUGCUCGAGUGGCGAACGGGUGAGUAACACGUGGGUGAUCUGCCCCUAACUUCGGGAUAAGCUUGGGAAACUGGGUCUAAUACCGGAUAGGACAAUCGUUUAGUGUCGGUUGUGGAAAGUUUUUUCGGUUAGGGAUGAGCCCGCGGCCUAUCAGCUUGUUGGUGGGGUAAUGGCCUACCAAGGCGUCGACGGGUAGCCGGCCUGAGAGGGUGGACGGCCACAUUGGGACUGAGAUACGGCCCAGACUCCUACGGGAGGCAGCAGUGGGGAAUAUUGCACAAUGGGCGCAAGCCUGAUGCAGCGACGCCGCGUGGGGGAUGACGGCCUUCGGGUUGUAAACCUCUUUCGACGGGGACGAAGCUUUGGUGACGGUACCUGUAUAAGAAGCACCGGCUAACUACGUG